rfam:Salmo salar isolate Sally breed double haploid chromosome ssa13, whole genome shotgun sequence.
UCCCAUGUGGCUCAGUUGGUAGAGCAUGGUGUUUGCAAUGCCAGUGUUGUGGGUUCGAUUCCCACGGGGGAC